UGACACGUGUACGAAGGACCUACAGAUA
rnacentral:sRNA from 1 species